UACUGAAUUCUAAUGGUGUAUUUUCUAAUUUCUUUUUUCCAAUGCAGUUGUCCAUUUUCAUAUCUGAAGAAUGGGAGUUGGAUAGAUUCGCUACAGUGUUUGUUCUAACAGAGCCCGUUGUUGUAAUGGAAGAUGGCUAAAUAGUGCUGACCUGACUUCAAUCACGAAUUGGCUUUUGCCAGUGCUGAAGGUGGAGAUGUUGACCAUUUGAAUGCUUGGGUAUACACACAGAUCAUUAAUUUUCAGCAAUUAGCAUUGAAGAAACGUUGCAGUAUUUUGUCAAAGAUUCUGCCGAAAGUGUGCAAAUGAGCUAUUGAAAAUACUCCUCGCUCAGACUGAAACACCUAUUGACCAUUUUGUUGUGAAUCUUCUGAUAUGCAAUUGAAAUCCACUGUUCUCAUAUAUUGAGGUUUCUGCCAUUGUUGGCUAUCAGUCUGCAUUGUUCAUAUGUGCAAGUGUUCUGAUUAGUUAGCGUUGGCUUAAAUUGUAAUGUUUGUACCCAUUUUACAUGUUAAAAUUGUUUUUGUUACCUGUUGCAAUUUUUCAUUUUUACUGCAGUACACUAAUUACAAUUUACAGAAGACUUGUGAACAAAUGGUUAAAGGGACACUUUAUAAAUUUGAAAGAAUGUGAUGUUAGUACCUUUAUUUUCCCAGUUCUAAAUCUGUGUUGUUCCAUUGUUCCUUUGCUGUUCUCAUGCCAUGUCUCAUUUUGUUACAUGCUGGUCAUAUGGUGUAGUCCUGCAGAACUUUCAUUUAGGAUUUAACCGGUUAUGAAGUGAAGGUCUUGUUUUGUGGACAGAUUGAGUGACAUAUUUGAGAGGGUUGUGAAGUUGUUACUCUUGGAAGUUGGGCUCUUGACAAUUUGUACAGUUCCCUUGAAUUAGUGAGAAAAAUGUUUACUGAAUGUUAACUCUAAACUAUGAAGUGAGUCAAAUCUUAGCAAGAUAGCACAAGUAUGAUGCAUGGCUCAUAAUGCUCAGGAACAUUUACUGACCAGGGACAGUGAUGUGGCAUUUCUCAAGAAUCUAAAUGAGUAUGAAGAGGGCAAGGCAGCUGGUGGGAAUCAGUUCAGUAUCUGGUAGUCAAUCAGACAUUGCAAUGGGAGAGGCAAGUGCUAACUGAAUGUAUAAACCAUGUCUGCAUGUGGACCCCUGUGAUAUGCCAUGAAGCUGCAUCAGUGAUUUGUUCUGACAGUUGCACAUCCAUCUAUGGAUACAUCAGCUGGAGAUAGUGAGCAGGCAACAGCACACAAUAUUGUUGAAAGCUGGCAUGGAGAGGGAAUGGAGCCAUGGGUGAAAGAGGAGGCGAACAUAAAUGUAAUUGAAUUAAAGAAAGAAGUUGAGUGGCCUCCAGAGGAGCAGGAGGUGGCAAAUGUUGGCGGGGAGGGCAAGCAAAAUGAUGCUUUUGUGGGAGGACUACAAUCGUGGGAGAACAUUCAGAUUGCCCCAUCUCUGUCUCUCGGCCCUUCUUGCUCUGAACGAGGCACAGCUGAAUAUGCUUCAAGCAAUUAUGAAGUUGAUGCUGUAGGGUUAGGAGGAGGAUAUGUGAUAUACCAGUCUCAAAUGUCAAGUGGGGAGGGUCCAACAACUACAGCAGUUCAUCCAUCAUCCUCAGUGACACGACCACUUCAACCCCAUGUUGAAACAUUGGUGGAAGAGCGCUUUGUUACAGGACUGCGAGGCAUAUUGGUUGCUCAACAUGACAGACAGUUAGACUCUUUGAAUUUAAUCAGACAGGAGAUGACCAGUCUUUGUCAAGAGGUGAGGGAGUUGAAGACAGGUCUUUGUCAGGAGGUGAGGGAGUUAAGGACCAGUCUUUGUCAGCAGCUGGCACUUUCAAUUCAAAAACUUACUGAUGCAUUGACUGUUUCAAAGGAAAUUCAACACCAAGGUGCUGCAAGUGACUUUAACCAAGUAACAAUACAAAAACCUGAUGUUCGUGCAGCUAAUACGGAAGUGGCACAAACAAACCCAGUAGAACCAUUCUUGACCGCUCCGAAUACUGAAACUGUGCAGUCCCAGGAGUUAGCCACAACACCUCUGACAGGUGCAAUUUGAGGGCAGCAGCAUUUUGGCACCAGAGGGCUUAGGACACGUGUAUGGGGAAGACGCAGGAGGCAUUAGGUGCUGGCUGAGUGGACUUUUGAAGUUAGUGUGAAACCAUUCUAAACUAUUGGAUCAACAGAAAACAUUUUAAAGACAUCAAAAAUCUUGCACUAAGCUGAUGUUGACAUUGUUUUGCUUAACUAUCUUGAAUGUUCUGCGGGGAGGGCAAGCAAAAUGAUGCUGUUGUGGGGGGACUACAAUCGUGGGAGAACAUUCAGAUUGCCCCAUCUGUCUCUCGGCCCUUCUUGCUCUGAUCGAGGCACAGCUGAAUAUGCUUCAAGCAAUUAUGAAGUUGAUGCUGUAGGGUUAGGAGGAGGAUAUGUGAUAUACCAGUCUCAAAUGUCAAGUGGGGAGGGUCCAACAACUACAGCAGUUCAUCCAUCAGCCUCAGUGACACGACCACUUCAAUCCCAUGUUGAAACAUUGGUGGAAGAGCACUUUGUUACAGGACUGCGAGACAUAUUGGUUGCUCAACAUGACAGACAGUUAGACUCUUUGAAUUUAAUCAGACAGGAGAUGACCAGUCUUUGUCAAGAGGUGAGGGAGUUGAAGACAGGUCUUUGUCAGGAGGUGAGGGAGUUAAGGACCAGUCUUUGUCAGCAGCUGGCACUUUCAAUUCAAAAACUUACUGAUGCAUUGACUGUUUCAAAGGAAAUUCAACACCAAGGUGCUGCAAGUGACUUUAACCAAGUAACAAUACAAAAACCUGAUGUUCGUGCAGCUAAUACGGAAGUGGCACAAACAAACCCAGUAGAACCAUUCUUGACCGCUCCGAAUACUGAAACUGUGCAGUCCCAGGAGUUAGCCACAACACCUCUGACAGGUGCAAUUUGAGGGCAGCAGCAUUUUGGCACCAGAGGGCUUAGGACACGUGUAUGGGGAAGACGCAGGAGGCAUUAGGUGCUGGCUGAGUGGACUUUUGAAGUUAGUGUGAAACCAUUCUAAACUAUUGGAUCAACAGGAAACAUUUUAAAGACAUCAAAAAUCUUGCACUAAGCUGAAGUUGACAUUGUUUUGCUUAACUAUCUCGAAUGUUCUGCAAUGAAUCUUUGCUGCUGAAAUAAAAUAUCACUUGCUUUAUUUUA